rnacentral:rRNA from 1 species
CCAAACCAGGCUGUAAAAAGCCAUAAGAUACAAUAAUUACACCCUAAUACAUAACAACUUCCACUCGCAAAAGUCAGGAUACAAACUAAGAUUAGAUACCUUACUAUGCCUAACCAUAAUAUAACAAACAACUACCACUUGUUCGCCAAAUAACUACGAGUAAAAACUUAAAAUUUAAAAGACUUGACGGUAUCUCACAACAACCUAGAGGAGCCUGUCUUAUAACCGAUACCCCACGAUUAAUCUAACCCCCCCUAGCCUAUCAGUCUAUAUACCGCCGUCGCCAGCCUACCUUAUGAAAGAAACAAAGUAAGCUAAAUAAUCACACAUUAAUACGACAGGUCGAGGUGUAACUUAUGGGGGGGGUUAAGAUGGGCUACAUUUUCUAAUAUAGAAAAUACGGACAAACUAUGAAAUAAAAACUAAAGGCGGAUUUAGCAGUACAUUAAGAAUAAAUAUGCUUAAUCGAAAUUAACGCAAUGAGAUGCGUACACACCGCCCGUCAUCCCUGUAAAUAUCACUAAUAUAUUCAUAAACACAAAACUACCUUCAAACAGGGCAAGUCGUAACAUGG